rnacentral:misc_RNA from 1 species
AACUCGAUUAACUUCCUCUUUCUAUGCCUUCAGUUCAGUCCCUCCUCCUCCCUUCACCCUCCCACUUGCUACUCAGUCCUCUGUCUCUCCAAUGGCUUCUCUCGAAAUAGAAGACGACGCCAACGCUGCCGCCGCCAAGACGCCAAAGCCACCAAUCUCCCACCAAGACAACGACGACGACGAAUCCCCAAUUGAGGAGGUCCGGCUCACCGUCUCCAACCAUGACGACCCCACACUCCCCGUAUGGACCUUCCGCAUGUGGUUUCUGGGCAUCAUAUCCUGCGUCCUCCUCUCCUUCCUCAACACUUUCUUCGCCUACCGCACAGAGCCUCUCACCAUUUCUAUGAUCUCCGUACAGGUCGCCACCCUCCCAAUCGGGCGGUUCAUGGCCAGAACGCUUCCCACAGCCAAGUUUCGAAUUCCUGGAUUCGGAAACAAGGAGUUGUCGCUUAAUCCGGGGCCGUUUAAUAUAAAAGAGCAUGUGCUGAUUUCGAUAUUUGCUAAUGUGGGAUCGAAUGCAGGAGGAGGCGCUGCUUAUGCAAUUAGUAUCAUUGAUAUUAUCGUGGCUUUCUAUCGUAGGAAGAUUUCCUUCUUGGCUAGUUGGAUUCUCG